rnacentral:rRNA from 1 species
CCGAAAGGCAGGAGUGCCUGCAAGGGAGCGCGGAGACAGGUGGUGCAUGGCUGUCGUCAGCUCGUGUCGUGAGAUGUUGGGUUAAGUCCCGCAACGAGCGCAACCCUCACCUCUUGUUGCCAUCAGGUCAUGCUGGGCACUCUAGAGGAACUGCCCCGGUCAACGGAGAGGAAGGCGGGGAUGACGUCAAGUCAUCAUGCCCCUUACGUCCUGGGCUACACACGUGCUACAAUGGCCGGUACAAAGGGAUGCCACACCGCGAGGUAGAGCUAAACCCAAAAAGCCGGUCUAAGUUCGGAUUGGAGUCUGCAACUCGACUCCAUGAAGGAGGAAUCGCUAGUAAUCGCGUAUCAGCACGACGCGGUGAAUACGUUCCCGGGCCUUGUACACACCGCCCGUCACACCACGAAAGCCAG